rnacentral:rRNA from 1 species
GCUGGCGGCACGCCUUAUACAUGCAAGUCGAACGAAGUAGCAAUACUUAGUGGCAGACGGGUGAGUAACAUGUGGGUAUCUUCCCUUUGGUGAGGAAUAACACGAGGAAACUUGUGCUAAUACCUCAUAAGUCUUUACGGAGAAAGCUUUAUGCGCCAAUGGAUGAGCCCGCACUUGAUUAGUUUGUUGGUGGGGUAAUGGCCUACCAAGACUUUGAUCAAUAGCUGAUCUGAGAGGAUGAUCAGCCACAUUGGAACUGAGACACGGUCCAAACUCCUACGGGAGGCAGCAGUAGGGAAUAUUGCACAAUGGAGGAAACUCUGAUGCAGCGAUGCCGCGUGAGUGAAGAAGGCCCUUGGGUUGUAAAGCUCUUUCGUCGGGGAAGAAAAUGACUGUACCCGAAUAAGAAGGUCCGGCUAACUUCGUGCCAGCAGCCGCGGUAAUACGAAGGGACCUAGCGUAGUUCGGAAUUACUGGGCUUAAAGAGUUCGUAGGUGGUUAAAAAAGUUGGUUGUGAAAUCCCGGAGCUUAACUCCGGAACUGCAAUCAAAACUUUUUAGCUAGAGUAUGAUAGAGGAAAGCAGAAUUUCUAGUGUAGAGGUGAAAUUCGUAGAUAUUAGAAAGAAUACCAAUUGCGAAGGCAGCUUUCUGGAUCAUUACUGACACUGAGGAACGAAAGCAUGGGUAGCGAAGAGGAUUAGAUACCCUCGUAGUCCAUGCCGUAAACGAUGUGUGUUAGACGUUGGAAAUUUAUUUUCAGUGUCGCAGCGAAAGCAGUAAACACACCGCCUGGGGAGUACGACCG